ACUAGUAUGGCAGAAUCAAUGCAACUGUCUUAAGAUCAGUUCAAAACCAGUCCGGUUUACUAGCA
rnacentral:tRNA from 1 species